GUUUCUGUUCGCUGCCCUGCAGAUGGACUCAGUAGUGGCUCUGUUAUGCUGAUGUUUAUUAAGGUGAUUCCUGUUUUUCCUCUGGCUGAAAUGGCAAACAGAUAAGUGCCGACUACAAGUGUGAACAGAAAGUUAAAUAUCCACCAUGCCCGAAUUGUGAGUGGAUGCUUCACAGAUUUUGUCUUCUGUAGACCGAAUACUGCUAGUGACAAUAUUAUCCAGGAUAGCAUCUGUAAACCUUCACUCAAGACAAAAGAUUAGAAAACUUAUUUCCUUCGGGAAUUACGGUCUUCAAUCUCUCCAUGCACCAUCUGAUUCUCUUGAAUAGAAACUGAGCCACGAUACAUGUGAUAAAUACCAGUUGUAUCAAUACAAAAGUGCUCGUCCAGAAGCAAGGUGAAUAUACUUCUGGCCAUUUUCGCAGGACCAGAAAAGCAAUACCAAAAGAGUGGUGGGCGAAGGAAAUCUUGCGGAACCAGAGGAGACGAAGAAUCAGGCGUAUGCAUGAACCUGCCUGGGGAUCGGUUGAGCCUCCUUACCUGUCGAAUCGUCGAGCAAGCCCGCCGCGUG